rnacentral:rRNA from 1 species
UACGUAGGGGGCAAGCGUUGUCCGGAUUUAUUGGGCGUAAAGAGCGUGUAGGCGGCCAGACAGGUCCGUUGUGAAAACUGGAGGCUCAACCUCCAGACGUCGAUGGAAACCGUCUGGCUAGAGUCCGGAAGAGGAGAGUGGAAUUCCUGGUGUAGCAGUGAAAUGCGCAGAUAUCAGGAAGAACACCCGUGGCGAAAGCGGCUCUCUGGGACGGUACUGACGCUGAGACGCGAAAGCGUGGGGAGCGAACAGG